rnacentral:tRNA from 1 species
GGAGUUGUGGCUCGGUGGUAGAGUAUCUUCUUUGCAGGCAGAAGGUUGGUUCUUGGUUCAAACCCUGACACCUCUG